CUAUUCCUAACUCCUAAUAUGAAUCUGGUAAACGCUUUCAAAUGAUGACGUUGAAUAUUACGAUACGGCUGGUAGCGAUAGCUGAACAAAUAAUAGGCCGAAUGAGCCCAUCUUCAGAUAAAGGUGUAAAGCCCAGUUUACUUACCACAUGACCUGACCUGUUCCGCUGUUCAGUCUGUUCACUUUCCCCGUUUCUGUUCGUAUUCUUUUUCUCUCCCUCUCCUUUCUCUCUAAAACCAAUUGCAGAAGAAACGAAAGCAGCAAUCGCCCUCCCCAUGGGAGAUUCCAACCCUACUCCUCGCACAUCAGUUCAUCAAGCUCUUGGUGGUGGCAAAGUUGCUGAUGUGCUAUUGUGGAGAAAAUGGAGUGGCGGAGUUGUGUUGCUAGUCUCGGCAACGACGUUGUGGUACUUAUUCGAAAGAGCUGGUUAUAAUUUCUUGUCUUUCGUGGCCAACGUCUUAUUGCUCCUUGUUGUUAUUCUCUUCUUCUGGGCCAAAUCUGCUUCCCUUCUCAACAGACCUUUGCCACCCCUUCCUAAUUUGGAAAUUUCUGAGAAAACUGUUGGGAGGGUUGCCGAUGAGUUACAAGUAUGGAUCAAUUAUGUAUUGUCGAUUGCACAUGACAUUGCGAUUGGCAGAAAUUUGAAACUUUUUCUUAAGGUUGCUGUUGGCUUGUGGUUAGUAUCAUACAUUGGUAGUCUCUUCAACUUCCUCACUCUGGUCUAUGUUGGAGUUAUUCUUAGCCUAUCAGUUCCUUUAAUAUAUGAUAAGUACCAGCACCACAUAGAUGAGAAGCUUUCUGUAACACACAGAAUCAUUCAAACGCAGUACAGGAAAAUUGAUGAAACAGUAUUGAGGAAGCUUCCAUUGCCUUCAAACAAGGAAAAGAAGAUGCGGUAGGUCCUGUUUCGAGGCCAGAUGAGUUGAGAUUAUGAAAUCACUGCGACUAAUAGUCUGUGAUCAUAAAUGGGUCUUCAUGUGGUCAAGUGUGACCAGGGGCAUAGGAUUUGGUUUUCAGGAUGUGAAGCUUUGAUAUCUUUUUGCUCGAUGCCAUCAAAUUUCCUAUACCAGUCGAGUAACCAAUCUUUAGGAGCGGACUAACCUUGAUAACUUUUAUUUUUGGGAGAAGAACUUUUUCUUUUUUCCGCCCUUGUGGGAACCCUAUAUUCUUGAUUUAAGUAAUGGCCUGCAAUUUAUACAUUUGUGGUUAUAUUUUACAUGCUCAUUUGGGUUGGACAAAGAUAAUCCUCCAAUGGAGGAAACUUGUUUAUGGUAAUGGAAUCCAAGCUUAUACAUUUCUUUUCUACGUGAGCUUUUCAUUAUACCAGUCUGCAGAAGAUGUAUCGUUCUACGUGAGCUUUUCCAGGAGACUUACAUGUAUAGUAAUCUGAGAUAAUGUUUAGAAUAAUAGCGUAACACUUUGUCAUGUUAACCAAAAACACAACUUCCUGA